rnacentral:rRNA from 1 species
CAGUCGCCGCGGUAAUACGAAGGGGGCUAGCGUUGCUCGGAAUCACUGGGCGUAAAGGGUGCGUAGGCGGGUCUUUAAGUCAGAGGUGAAAUCCUGGAGCUCAACUCCAGAACUGCCUUUGAUACUGAAGAUCUUGAGUUCGGGAGAGGUGAGUGGAACUGCGAGUGUAGAGGUGAAAUUCGUAGAUAUUCGCAAGAACACCAGUGGCGAAGGCGGCUCACUGGCCCGAUACUGACGCUGAGGCACGAAAGCGUGGGGAGCAAACAGGAUUAGAUACCCCAGUAGUCCCUGUCUCUUAUAC